rnacentral:rRNA from 1 species
UACAGAGGGUGCCAGCGUUGUUCGGAAUUAUUGGGCGUAAAGGGCGCGUAGGCGGUCGCGUAUGUCGGGUGUGAAAGCCCACCUCUUAAAGGUGGAGUUGCAUUCGAAACUACGUGACUAGAGUACCGGAGAGGAUGGUGGAAUUCCUGGUGUAGAGGUGAAAUUCGUAGAUAUCAGGAGGAACACCGGUGGCGAGGCGGCCAUCUGGACGGAUACUGACGCUGAGGCGCGAAAGCGUGGGGAUCAAACAGG